GCCCCAGUAGCUUAAUUUAAAGCAUCGGUCUUGUAAUCCGAAGAUCGAGGGUUAGACCCCCUCCUGGCGCC
rnacentral:tRNA from 1 species